GGGAAAGCUGGCAAUCACAGGCCUCACCCAGCUCCCACGCAAUCCGAAGGGCAGGUCUCACUCCCACCAUGCCCCGCCUCACAGCACUGAGUCUGUUUCCAGAAAGUGGGCAAGCAGGGCUGAGAAUUUGCCUUGGGCUACUUGCCUCCCAGGCGGAGGUGGUGAGCGGAGAUUGCGCCAUCGCACUCCAGCCUGGGCAACAAGAGCAAAACUCCAUCUCAAUAAUAAAAAAAAAGAUACUAAGGCUUUAGUUCUUCCCCGGCCUGUGGAGUCUGCUUGCUGGAUUCAUGCCCUUCCCCCCAAGCAGAGUUCUGGCCAGGAGGCUUCUGAACAGGUUCAAAUUGUUACAAAGAUCAGCUGGAGAGUUCCUUCUCCCUGUGGCGUUUUCCCUGCACCUCUGGCCACCCUCCGGAAGGAUCCCUAUGGUGCCAGGCAGGAAUGACCUGCUUGGGGACCCAGUGAGCUCACAGGGCCUUUCCCACUUCUUCCUCUACCUGUGUAUUUCACUUGGCUCUCUACAUCGACUCAGCUCCAGCCAUGUGAAGUGCCUCACUCCCUGUUCACCUUCCACCAUGAUUUUAAGUUCUGUGAGGCCUCCCUAGAAGCUGAUGCCACCAUGUUUCCUGUACAACCUGCAGAAUGACAUGGAAAUUAGUGCUUGCUUCCC
rnacentral:lncRNA from 10 species